AUGAACUGGAGUCCGCAGGGGCCACAGCAGGUAGGAGACAAGCCCUGUUCUUUGUCUCCACAAGCGCUGAAACUCACUGUGUUUCUUCCAGGCUCCAAAUCUCCAACAGCGAAGCCAAGAACAGACGAAAUGCUCUCCGCGGCUCUGAGUGACUGAAUUGGGUCACUGCUCCGUAAAUCCAAUUGUCAGCGUGUCACCUGUGGAAAUGACUGGAAAUACACGAUUGCCUGUGCCGAGAGCAGCGUAGCUGGGCUGUACCCGUAUGUCCUUAGGGUUUUCUUCUCCAAACUGCAUGUGUCGCUAAUAAAAGGUAAACCUGCUUCUGUGGUCACAUACCAAAGAAUCGAGAUUUUAUAUCUCAUAUACUCUUCUUAUUAAAAAUGCUUACUUAUAAAGUUAAUCUUCUUCUAAAACUAGAUUAAUUUUUUUCCUUCUCAUUUUAGAAUUUGCAGGUCAAGUGUUGCUUCACAGUGAGAACAUAGUAUUCCAUCAAAACCUAGGGACACAUUUACCAUCUUUCUUUAUAAUACAGUUAUUUUGAAGUAUCCUCUUUGAUGGCCACUGUGCAAUGAUUACAUUUGGAACUGUGAAAAAUUGAACUUAGUUGCGUU
rnacentral:lncRNA from 1 species